GAUGAAGAACGUAGCGAAAUGCGAUACGUAAUGUGAAUUGCAGAAUUCAGUGAAUCAUCGAAUCUUUGAACGCACAUUGCGCCCGCCAGCACUCUGGCGGGCAUGCCUGUUCGAGCGUCAUUUCAACCAUCAAGCCCCAGGCUUGUGUUGGAGCCCUGCGGCUGCCGCAGCCUCCUAAAAGCAGUGGCGGGCUCGCUAUCACACCGAGUGCAGUAGAUUUCUCUUCGCUCAGGGCGUGUGGCGGGUUCCGGCCGUGAAACCCCCUACUCUUGAAGGUUGACCUCGGAUCAGGUAGGAAUACCCGCUGAACUUAAGCAUAUCAAUAAGCGGAGGA
rnacentral:misc_RNA from 1 species